rnacentral:miRNA from 1 species
AUGUGAGAUUGAGAGAGAGGAUGAGAGGGGAGGAUGGGAGGGAGGAGUAACAAAAGUGACAAAAACUUGAAAGUGAAAACAAUUUCAAAUAGAUUUCAGUUUUUAAUUUUUGUUUUCAAUUUUGUUACUUCUCCCUCCCAUCCUCCCCUCUCAUCUUCCCUCUAAAUCCCAUCUU